rnacentral:rRNA from 1 species
AGCGAACGCUGGCGGCAGGCCUAAUACAUGCAAGUCGAACGAGCCCUUCGGGGCUAGUGGCGGACGGGUGAGUAACACGUGGGAACGUACCCUUUGGUUCGGAACAACUCAGGGAAACUUGAGCUAAUACCGGAUGUGCCCCCAUCCUUGAACAAGAUGGGUGGGAAAGAUUUAUCGCCAUUGGAGCGGCCCGCGUCUGAUUAGCUUGUUGGUGAGGUAAAGGCUCACCAAGGCUACGAUCAGUAGCUGGUCUGAGAGGAUGAUCAGCCACACUGGG